AUGAACGCUAGCGACAGGCCUAACACAUGCAAGUCGAGGGGCAGCACGGAGUAAGCUUGCUUACUUUGGUGGCGACCGGCGCACGGGUGCGUAACAGGUGUGCAAUCUGUCCAUAAUCGGGGAAUAGCCCAGCGAAAGUUGGAUUAAUGCUCCAUGUGAGUAGAGGAGGCAUCUGACGAUGAUUAAAGGUUACGGUGACAGAUGGGGAUGCGUCUGAUUAGCUUGUUGGCGGGGUAACGGCCCACCAAGGCAACGAUCAGUAGGGGUUCUGAGAGGAAGGUCCCCCACAUUGGAACUGAGACACGGUCCAAACUCCUACGGGAGGCAGCAGUGAGGAAUAUUGGUCAAUGGGCGGAAGCCUGAACCAGCCAAGUAGCGUGAAGGAUUACAGCCCUACGGGUUUAAACUUCUUUUAUAUGAGAGUAAUGUGCACUACGUGUAGUGUAUUGCAAGUAUCAUAUGAAUAAGCAUCGGCUAACUCCGUG
rnacentral:rRNA from 1 species